GUCCCCAUAGUCUAGCGGUCAGGACGCGGCCCUUUCAAGGCUGAGACACGAGUUCGAUUCUCGUUGGGGGCA
rnacentral:tRNA from 1 species